CUCCUACGGGAGGCAGCAGUGGGGAAUUUUGGACAAUGGGGGCAACCCUGAUCCAGCCAUUCCGCGUGAGUGAAGAAGGCCUUCGGGUUGUCAAGCUCUUUCGGCAGGAACGAAACGGUGUCCCCUCAUACGGGGCGCUAAUGACGGUACCUGAAGAAGAAGCACCGGCUAACUACGUGGCAGCAGCCGCGGUAAUACGUAGGGUGCGAGCGUUAAUCGGAAUUACUGGGCGUAAAGCGUGCGCAGGCGGUUAUGUAAGACAGGUGUGAAAUCCCCGGGCUUAACCUGGGAACUGCGCUUGUGACUGCAUAACUUGAGUGUGGCAGAGGGGGGUGGAAUUCCACGUGUAGCAGUGAAAUGCGUAGAGAUGUGGAGGAACACCGAUGGCGAAGGCAGCCCCCUGGGUCAACACUGACGCUCAUGCACGAAAGCGUGGGGGAGCAAACAGGAUUAGAUACCCUGGUAGUCCACGCCCUAAACGAUGCGAACUAGGUGUUGGGGAAGGAGACUUUCUUAGUACCGCAGCUAACGCGUGAAGUUCGCCGCCUGGGGAGUACGGUCGCAAGAUUAAAACUCAAAGGAAUUGACGGGGACCCGCACAAGCGGUGGAUGAUGUGGAUUAAUUCGAUGCAACGCGAAAAACCUUACCUACCCUUGACAUGUCAGGAAGUCUGCUGAGAGGUGGAUGUGCUCGAAAGAGAACCUGAACACAGGUGCUGCAUGGCUGUCGUCAGCUCGUGUCGUGAGAUGUUGGGUUAAGUCCCGCAACGAGCGCAACCCUUGUCAUUAAUUGCCAUCACUCAGUUGGGCACUUUAAUGAGACUGCCGGUGACAAACCGGAGGAAGGUGGGGAUGACGUCAAGUCCUCAUGGCCCUUAUGGGUAGGGCUUCACACGUCAUACAAUGGUCGGUACAGAGGGUUGCCAACCCGCGAGGGGGAGCCAAUCCCACAAAGCCGAUCGUAGUCCGGAUCGCAGUCUGCAACUCGACUGCGUGAAGUCGGAAUCGCUAGUAAUCGUGGAUCAGCAUGUCACGGUGAAUACGUUCCCGGGUCUUGUACACACCGCCCGU
rnacentral:rRNA from 1 species